AGUGAACGCUGGCGGUAGGCCUAACACAUGCAAGUCGAACGGCAGCACAGUAAGAGCUUGCUCUUACGGGUGGCGAGUGGCGGACGGGUGAGGAAUACAUCGGAAUCUACUUUUUCGUGGGGGAUAACGUAGGGAAACUUACGCUAAUACCGCAUACGACCUACGGGUGAAAGCAGUGGAUCUUCGGACCUUGCGCGAUUGAAUGAGCCGAUGUCGGAUUAGCUAGUUGGCGGGGUAAAGGCCCACCAAGGCGACGAUCCGUAGCUGGUCUGAGAGGAUGGUCGGCCACACUGGAACUGAGCCACGGUCCAGGCUCCUACGGGAGGCAGCAGUGGGGAAUAUUGGACAAUGGGCGCAAGCCUGAUCCAGCCAUACCGCGUGGGUGAAGAAGGCCUUCGGGUUGUGAAGCCCUUUUGUUGGGAAAGAAAAGCAGCAGGUUAAUACCCCGCUGUUCUGACGGUACCCAAAGAAUAAGCACCGGCUAACUUCGUG
rnacentral:rRNA from 1 species